AGUCCUUCUUUGGGGGGGCAUCACUGGGUCUUUGGCACAGUCCACGCUUUGAACCGGAUUUGAACGGGAGAACCACCACGUGGUCCAGGUGCUAGCAGCGGAAGUGGGUGCGUUGGUGGGUCGCGUGACCGCAGAAGCUCCUCCCCUCGGUGCCGUGGGGUCCUCCAGGUCGUACUUCUCCAGCGCCUGAGUGACGUGCCCCUAGAGUCUGGAGGCACAUCCGGCUAUUUGCGCCUCUUUGAUCCUCGCCUUCCAGUGGCACGUCGCCCAGACUGCCCUGGCUUGGCUGGCCCUGGCCUCUUCCCGAAGCCCGUCACUGGUGCGGGAAUAGGUGAAUCCAGGCAGGGGGGGUGACCGUCCCCUUCCAGUGUGAAAAAUGCACCCAAACUCCGCCCCCCUUUGCGCGUCUCACAGCACGCACACGCAAGCAAGGACUGGAGUUGGGGAUUCUUGAAAGAAGUGAAGCACCCCAGCAUGCAGGAGGGGAACAAACUUCAGAGGGGGCGCACAAGCCAAGGAGUAACUGCCCCGCCGCGCCCGGGAGCCUGGCUUGGACUGGAGCGCGUGUAUCAGGAGCCAGGGGCUCCUUAAAGGGCACCACACACACUAGCCCCUUCCUCUGGGAGCCAGGUCACUAUGGGACAACUCCGAUUGAGGUCGUAUGUGCUCUAGGACUCCCCAUGGCAUUUCCUGAGGCUUCGAUACUUUUGACUGCUUGUCUGGACUAUUCUUGGGCUGAGCACAUAACAACUGAAUGCUUCUUUAAAAUUAUUUAAUCUCUAAAGUUUCCCAAGAGAAGGAAAAAGAAGAGGAAAGGAAA